rnacentral:rRNA from 1 species
GACGAACGCUGGCGGCGUGCUUAACACAUGCAAGUCGAACGGAAAGGCCCUGCUUUUGUGGGGUGCUCGAGUGGCGAACGGGUGAGUAACACGUGAGUAACCUGCCCUUGACUUUGGGAUAACUUUAGGAAACUGGGGCUAAUACCGGGUAGGAGCUCCUGCUGCAUGGUGGGGGUUGGAAAGUUUCGGCGGUUGGGGAUGGACUCGCGGCUUAUCAGCUUGUUGGUGGGGUAGUGGCUUACCAAGGCUUUGACGGGUAGCCGGCCUGAGAGGGUGACCGGCCACAUUGGGACUGAGAUACGGCCCAGACUCCUACGGGAGGCAGCAGUGGGGAAUAUUGCACAAUGGGCGGAAGCCUGAUGCAGCAACGCCGCGUGCGGGAUGACGGCCUUCGGGUUGUAAACCGCUUUCGCCUGUGACGAAGCGUGAGUGACGGUAAUGGGUAAAGAAGCACCGGCUAACUACGUG